rnacentral:rRNA from 1 species
CAGCAGCCGCGGUAAUACGAGGGGGGCAAGCGUUGUUCGGAUUUAUUGGGCGUAAAGGGUGCGUAGGCGGUUUGGCGAGUCUUGUGUGAAAUCUUCGGGCUCAACCCGAAGCCUGCACGAGAAACUACCGGGCUUGAGUAUUGGAGAGGUGAGUGGAAUUUCCGGUGUAGCGGUGAAAUGCGUAGAUAUCGGAAGGAACACCUGUGGCGAAAGCGGCUCACUGGACAAUAACUGACGCUGAUGCACGAAAGCUAGGGGAGCAAACAGGAUUAGAUACCCGUGUAGUCCCUGUCUCUUAUAC